rnacentral:rRNA from 1 species
UCACGUUAAACGGCCGCGGUAUUCUGACCGUGCAAAGGUAGCAUAAUCACUUGUUCUCUAAAUAAGGACUAGUAUGAACGGCUAGACGAGGGUUUUACUGUCUCUCAUCUGUAACCAGUGAAAUUGACCUCCCCGUGAAGAGGCGGGGAUAAUGUAAUAAGACGAGAAGACCCUAUGGAGCUUUAAUUAAACAGCUUAAAGUUAACCUAAUAUUACUCUAAAAGAGAUAAAAACUAAUGACCUAAGCUGUCAAUUUUGGUUGGGGUGACCUCGGAGUAAAAAACAACCUACGAGCGGUCAAAUCUAGACUAACAAGUCCAGAUAAUCCGUUAAUUGAUCCAAUGACUUGAUCAACGGAACAAGUUACCCUAGGGAUAACAGCGCAAUCCUGUUCGAGAGUCCAUAUCGACAACAGGGUUUACGACCUCGAUGUUGGAUCAGGACAUCCCAAUGGUGCAGCCGCUAUUAAUGGUUCGUUUGUUCAACGAUUAAAGUCCUACGUGAUCUGAG